GUGGUCACCCACUCAGAAUCCGGCUACCUCUUACGAAAUUGAGAUUCAUGUUUCUGAUUGGCUCUUCGAGAUUCUGCCCCGCCCCCUGGCGGACAGCCACUCGGCCGGCUUUCUGCUCCUGAAUGGCACCUGCAGUUGGGUCCAGCGCCCCCCGCGGCUCUGCGGGCGGUUUCCCCCGGGAUUCGGGGCGUCCUGCUCUCUCUCCCCUCGCCUUGCGUCCUGCUGCCGCUGGAGCCCGUUCCCCGGGGCCGCCUUCGCCCGCGCGGCCCGAGGAGGCUGCGCCGGGUCCCGCCGGGAGUCCUGCCGCGGUCCACACGCCCCUUCGCCCAGGCCGGCGGGCCGAGCAGCAAAUGGGGGCGGGGGGCGACGGGGCGGCCCCGGCUUCCCGGACCGGGGCCAAGGUCGGGCCCCAGUGCCAAGAGCGGGGCUGGCAGUCGGGCCGGAAUUCCUGCCCCGGCGGCCCGGUCCUCCCCUGCAGGAAACCGCCGGGUGCCCGCCGGGCGGGGGACCCGGGGGUCGGGGCGCCAGGCAGGACUUCUCGGCGGGCCGGAGCUGUGGCCUGCGGUGCGUCUCCGUGGUUCUGUCGGUGCCCCCCUCCUCCGGUGCGGUAAUCUCUACCCCCAGCGUGGAGCUCGAACUCAGGAAGGCUUGCAACCCGAGAGGCAGGAAAACAAGGAAGCGGGGUGCACAGGUGGGGAGGCUGCAGUCCCGGACCUCAUCCCCACCCGGCCCUCCGCCAGGGUCCCCACGCCAGUGCGGGAGAGUCGCACUAUGCUUCAAGGACUGAGCCAGCCAGGUGCCCCCCCCCCUUUCAUUUUAAAUGCACAACUCUUUGUCUUUAAUAAUAUCCUCAUACAUAAAUCUUUUGUGCAUUUCUAAUGAUGUCCUAAAAAUACACUGCUCGGUCAUAUUCCUGAGUCCAAGAGAAUGAACAUUUCUAAGGCUUGUAAUACAUGCUGCCAAAUCAUGUUUUUCCUCAAAAUGACAAUACUGGAUAUCCUAGUGAAAAAAGCACCAAUCUGGUAAAAAGAUCCUG
rnacentral:lncRNA from 1 species